UCCCUGGUGGUCCAGUGGCUAAGACUCUGAGCUCACAAUGCAGGGGGUCCGGGUUCCAGCCCUGGUUGGGGAA
rfam:TPA: Bos taurus chromosome 13, whole genome shotgun sequence.